UUGGUGUCAAAAUUCCAUUGAAAAUGCAAUCUGUCAGUGCUCUCAUUCAGGCAGGUAUUCAGUUGGGAUGUGACCUCCUUGUUCAGUGCUUAGUUCACUUGAAUCCAUUCAAGGCAGAGUCAGUGUUUCUGGCGAAAGGAUGAUGACUUUGACAGCAAUGAAAUUACACCCAUCUCUUUCGUGCUCCUGAAACAACAUGUUAGUCGGCUGGAAUUGUUUAUGGCCCGGUCCGAGCCACUAUGUUUGUUUCCCAUUGACAGUGCAUGCAUGCUGUACUGUAAAAAACACUGGAUUUUUGUUUGAGCGCACACACCAAAUGGAUAGUUAGAUGACCAUGAGGAGCAUUUAGCUGAAUUUGACAAAGUGUAUUGGAUUAGAAUUGUGUACUGCAUUCCUUCAAUCACACAUGGGGGUCGCCUCUACACAAUGGUGACAAUGCCUGGCAGAUUCAUAUAUCAAAACUAAGUGCAUCCACAGUCAACCUCGCAAAUUGGUUUAAUUAUAAUAGGCUUGAGUUGAUGAAUGGUUCUAUUAAACAACAUUAACAACAACAAUACUGCUAAUGAUAAUAAUAAUGAGACAAACAACUUAAUGACUGAUUUGACUAUUUAUUACUAUUUUCCCCCUUGUGUGGAGGCCAUGCUCUGAUCAUGUGGUACCCUCUCUGCACUAGAACAUAGAAUGUAGUUUGUUAUGUUUCCGGGCUCUGCAGGAAGUGUCCCUCAUUCACUCAGUUAACUCACCUGUAAGUCGCCACUCAGCAGCCAUCUUGGUAGAGCCUCCAGACCGCUAUUUUGGACAAACAAGAUCAGGUUCCUAAAUGUAUUAAUGGGGAAAUCCAUAACUCCACACUUGUCAAUGAUAAAAGUACACCAUGUGAAUCUAUCUUUAAAUAUUACAUGACAUUUUUUCCCCCUGAAAUGAGGCUUAUAAAGAAUGUAUUUUUCGUAUUGACUUGCUGGUGGAAACAAAAUGUUCAGGGUACCAAUAAUUGUGGAGGGCACUGUAGCUGCUGGCUCAACACUUCUGUCCUCGAAGGGUGAGUAAAUGAUUCAUUUUUUUUUAUAUUGUAAUUACUAAUACUUAUUGAUAUUGUUUUAGGACAUGGAUGAGAGGGAUUUGGAGAGGAAAAGGAUCAAAUAUACUGAUUUUGGUAGCAGGCACAAACAAAACGAAAUUGCUUAUACCUGUAGUAUAGGAAAGUUUAACCACACAAAUGGAAAGUUUGAUCACACUUAACCAGUGGUGGGUUGGGAUGAGUUGUCAUGCAUAGGCUACAUCUUAUCCCCUCAGAU
ensembl:lncRNA